AUUAGCCAGCCCUUUAUGGGGUGAAGAACCAAAUUUGGUCACUUGAGUGGGUGGUUUAACAUUAACCUCGCAUGCCUCGUUUAUGACGACAUUUUCGUGUUUGUUUGAGACAAACGAGAAGCUGCGAAAUGGACUGGAAGCAGCUGAUCGACGCAACUGGUCUCCGACAGGUUCGCGAAUGUGAAAAGGACACAUGGGGGGGGGGGAAGGUGGGAAGUGGAAAUGAGGCAUCGGUGUAAAGAGGAGCGAGAAACGGGUGAAGAAGCAGCCAAUGGAUCAAAGAUUCCAGCUUCUAUUUGGGGGCUCAGCUCAAGCUGGAGCGUAAAAUCAAACGCCAGUGAGCCAGAUUCCGACUGACACCUCCUCUAUAACUUAUGUUCUUUUUUUUUUUAAAGCAUAUGGAGACAUCCUUUAAGCACUAAAAAAGAAUCUGGGUGAAUAUCAGUGAGCAGCAGAGUGUUAUCGUUUGUGAUCCAAGGAUUCAAACCUACUGUCAAGCAGUAAAUAAAAAAGAAUGUGUGGGCCAGAAGAUGUGCAAAUGAGUUCAAUGCACAAGCUAUGCUAGAAUAUCUUUUCUCUGGGGAUGAACACAAAAGGGAGUCACUGCUAGCACACUUUCCUCUCCCCCUCCUGGAAUAUACUCCAUCUUUAAAGCUGCGUGGAAGCCUAACAGUCACAAAGUACCUUCUGUUCUGCAAAUAGUGAGAAAAAAAGAGCCAGACAGACAUGGAUUGGGGGCAGGAUGAAAGAGUUACACAGCAAUCUGUUCCUCAUACAACGAUGCAAAAAAAAAAAAAAAAAAAGGCAGAACAGGACGUGAUAAAGUUUACGGUGCUGUUGUUGAAUAUGGAUGGUAGAAUUACUUUAAACAUGGGCUUUAACAAAUGGUAACCUCUGUUGAUGCUAUAUUGCUCAAUAAAUUCUGAGCAAUAUAUAUUAUUAUUAUUAUUAUUAUUUUGUCUCUUUCUUUGUGGCAGAAAUUGUGAAGUGGACGCAGACUUAGCUAGCAGCACUCCAUAGCAGACAGCUGAGAUUUUUAAGCCUGGAGAGUUAAUGACUAAUCCUGACCUAAAGCCUACAGCGUGAUUGGUUUGAGCCAAUUAUACAAGGUCCCUUCCCUAUUUUGCUUAUUGGCUGGCGAGAAGCAGAAUGGGGGGGGUUGCUGAAACUGGCAGUCUUAGGAUGGGGGAAUUUGAUUAUUUAGUGACAGUAAAGGAUUUUGAUGCAUUGUAGUCCACUACAUUGGCACUCUGGAACUGAUGAGUCAGUCUCCACUCAAGGACAUUCCGGAUGGUACGAUGACAUCAGUGGCAACGUAUAAACUAAACAACUAAGCGUGGCGAUAGUGCGGGGUGAUGUGAUUGCAAAGACAGCGAGGGACAAAAGGGCUCUUGGUACAGACUAAAACAAUAGUAAGGACUUCUUAUUUAAACAAUGGAGAGAGUAACUACAUACAGCAGGGCAACCUUAACAGCUGUUGUGUCUGUGGAGGAACAUUACUGUAAAUAAUUCGUAGAGGGUUUGG